rnacentral:lncRNA from 1 species
GGUGGCGUCGUUGCUGGAUCCGGAGCGGCAUGUGGUAGUGGCGAUGCCUGCAGCGACAGCGGCAGAAGAUGAUGGACGCAUGACGGCGGCGCGCUUGGCGGUGGCGAUUGUGGCGGUUGUGGGGGUGGACAAGAAGAUUGUGCUGGCGAUUCCGCGCGGCGGCGGCCGUGGUGGAAGAAAGGGGAGUGCGGAUGCGGGGCCGGGGAUGUCGGGCUGCUCCUGCCCUGAGGCGUGGUUCGGCGGGGGCUGCGUGUGGGCCUGUGGGAUGGCGGAUGCAAGGGAUGCGCAGGUGAUAGCGGAGGCACUGACCUGCGCCACACGCAGCGUGUGGGAGUCAUCAUUAAGUAAGAUCUAAAGCACAAAACUCCGGGAUACUCUGUUGGUGCGGACAUUUCCCUAUGUAGCAAGCGAGAUUUAUUUGGGCGUUGAAAGGCCGGCUGGAUGUUUUGUGGCAGAACGAGGACAGAAAAAAGCAAACGCCAGUUGCUGUUUUGAAUUGGUGCGUUGGAAAUAUGACGAUCUCAGGCGCGAGCAUAUGACUUUGUUGCUCCUCCUAUUGGGGCGUCCAAAUGACGAGUUGGCAGCAGUGGGCUCAGGAUUCCAUGCGCAGUUCAAGAUGAAGGUGUUGUGUCGUCCAUCCAGUUUGUUAUCUCCAUAAGCUUGUUAUAGAAUCUUGGAGAAGCGUAGAGGUUUGGAGGGGCUGCACACAUGUUGGACUUGGACAGAGCCUUAGUUGUUGUGCAAAUGCGUUUGUGCAAACGCGGUGCUUCUCUUAAAUAAUCAUAGCGCCAUCGGAGUUCAGCUGGAGAAUUCAUCACAUUUCUGAAGAUGGAAAACCUAGCUUUUAAAUU